rnacentral:rRNA from 1 species
UACGGGGGGGGCAAGCGUUGUUCAGAAUUACUGGGCGUAAAGGGCUCGUAGGUGGCCAACUAAGUCAGACGUGAAAUCCCUCAGCUUAACUGGGGAACUGCGUCUGAUACUGGAUGGCUUGAGUUUGGGAGAGGGAUGCGGAAUUCCAGGUGUAGCGGUGAAAUGCGUAGAUAUCUGGAGGAACACCGGUGGCGAAGGCGGCAUCCUGGACCAACACUGACACUGAGGAGCGAAAGCCAGGGGAGCAAACGGG